UCUGCAGGAUUUUCUGUAUCAAGAAAUGAGAUAGUUAUAAGCUUCUCCUUUUUACCAUUUUAUCAAAGUGCAUCCACUAGAACGCUGCAUACAAGUGGAAACCACUUUUACUGGAAUGUGGCAGUAUGAAAUAUUGUUCACUAACCAUUCCCAUUACUCAUGUUAGAUAGAAGCAGGAUGACAUCAAAGGAAUCCAACUGCAGAGACUCGAGUGAAGCACCUCUUGAAAUGUCUGGAAUUGAUCCUGGCAAAACAGAGGAAAGAAUGGAGUCCUUCCCCUGCUGCAUCAUGUGGUUCCUCCCAUAGGAGACAGUUCCCCAUGAACUUCCCUGGUGUGAGUCCGCAUCUCAUGAGCAGCAGUCUUCCCAAAACUGCUUCAACGUGAGUCGCUCCCAUGGGCACACAGUCCUCCCAUAACUGCUGCGACUUGGGUCACUCGUCCCAUGGGGUGCAGUCCUUCAAGGACAGGCUGCUCCAGCCUGGGAGCAGGGCCCCCUCUCCACUGGGUCUCCCACUGGAUCACAGCCUCCUCUGGGCAUCCACCUGCUCCAGCAUGAGCACCUCCCUCAUGGGCUGCUGGUGGAUCUCUGCAUCCCCCGUGGAUCCUGAUCCCCAUGGUCUGCAGGGGCACAGCUGCUUCACUAUGGUCACAACCACAGCCUGCAGGGGAAUCUUGGCUCCAGUGCCUGGAGCAUCUCCUGCCCCUCCUUCCUCAACGACCUUGGUGUCGCCAUGUCAUUUUCCUCACAUGUUCUCAUCUCCUCCUCUUCUCUGGCUGGGAAAAAAUUCUGUUCCACUUUGUUUUGAUUUUCUUCUUGAAUAUGUUAUCACAGAGGCAUUACCAACUUCUCUAAUUGACCCAGUUUUGGCCAGCAGCAUGUCCAUCUUCGGAGCCAUCAGGUAUUGGUUCUGCCGGACAUGGUGGAAAUUUCUGGCAGUUCUCAUGAAAGUCACCUCUGUGGCCCACCUGCUACCAAAACCCAGGCCAUGCAAAACCAACAAAAUUACAAAGAAACCACCAAGCAAAAAAAAAAAAAAAGUCUGAUUUUCAGGAUAACACACCUGCUACCAUGUGGGAAAGUAACAGCAGCAUUGCUCAGUACGAAGUGAGAAGAAUAGAAGGUGGAGGAUGAAAGUUUAAAAAAACUACCUAGAAAUUAAAACACAGUCUGCAGAAGAAUGGGAAUUCUCAUAAGAGAACAUCCUGAGAACUAUGUCAUGGAGAGAUCAUCCAAACUGCCAGUGCACUGCAUAAUUUUCCUGCCUGGUCUUCCUACCUGC